GGCCCGGCCAGGGCCUGCUGGCGGGCACGGCCCGGCCCGUGGCGGGGAGCGGCGCCGCCGCGGUUUAUCGGUUUACCGGUUCACCGGUACCCUUCCCUCUUAUCCCCCCCGCCCCAAAAGUAUGUUGGCAGGCAGGGAGGCCGCCGCCCCGCGCAGGAGAGCGGCCCCUCACUCACCCACGGCGGAGGCUGCCCAGCGCCGCGAAGGGCCCGUCCCGCACUGCCGUUGGCCGCUCGCCGGCUCUCGCUCUUCGGCCUGUGCGGCCACAGAGACGUUCCCGCGCUGGCACCCCGCGUCUGCACUCAUCGCCGUAGGCACCAAUAUAUAUAUGUGCGUAUACAGGCGCCCUCUGAGCAGCGAUUGAAAGUGCGAACGGCCCGAGCCGCGGGAGGCUGUGCCCCCGCCCGCUCACACCGCCCGGCCAAAGGAGCUGCGAAGGACGGGAGGAGGCCGCCUUUGUGCCCCUGGCGCCGGGGGAGGCCGCCGCGCCGAUGCCUGCCCCUCACAUGCCCGCUGCCUGCCCUGCCCCGCAGCACUGUGCUCGACGCUCACUUCACACCGAUAAGAGUUUGUGUGCAGAGACAAUGGAGCCAGCAGGGCUGUGGUUACAGCCGCCUCGAUCCAGCAGAAAGGCAAGCGUACCCGAAAGGGACGGCCUGCGCAGCUGUAUGUGAACCUUCCGUGCCCGGAGCCUGCUCUGUUGGGGUGCAGGCACACUGCUAAUGCCUCCACUGAAAAUGGGGAACAAGCCGCGGCGGUGACAGGGCUCCCUCCUUCACCAGGGAUCCAGAUCCAUUCGGGCUGUAGUGGUUGUGGUUUCAUGGCCUCCCAACAGUAGAGACCUCACCAGGAGACUGUAUCAGGGCCAGGGAAAGCCCCACAGACAGCAAUACUGCUCCGUGUUGGACUCAGAAAAGACAGAACUUCAGCCCCUUAGGCUUUUGGCACAGUCCCUGUAACCUGGGACAGAAUGUAUUUUGGUCAUAUCCCCAACUGUCUUUUCAGCUUUAGCUGUCAAAGAAGUAAUGUCUAAUGCAGCAGAUCAGGAUUCCUGUGAUUCCUGGAGACAAUUACCGCCUGUGAAGUGACGUGGCACAACUGCUUUUGACAUGGCUGCCAUCUCUGUGGUAUAAAGCCACCACACUUGGGAGAAAAUUACAGCCAAAGGAUGAGGACAAUGGGAAAUUGACUAAAAAAUACAGUCUGCAAUGAAACAAAUUUGAUAUGUGUUAAAAAAGAAAGUCUGUGAAGAAUCAUCUGUAAUGCAGUUGUCUCCAGUAAUAAUCACUUUGGAAAGAAUGUUAAAAUAGAAACAAAUACCACAAGAACUAAUAAAUUCCUACAAGCUGUCACUGAAACUGAGAGAAUAAACCAAUAUAAUUAAAAUACCAGCAUGUUGUAAAAGUUUAGUUGUAGGGGUUAUAACCAUUUUGAGUUUGGUUUUUAAUAUGUCAGUAUAUGCAGAGAAUUCAUCAUAAUCCUUUCUUAAGAUACCUGUAACCACAACAGCAAGCAUAGCUGAGUAAAGUUUCUUCUGCA